ensembl:lncRNA
AACAGAUUGAUUGCUUAUUUGCAAAUCAUUUUUAUAUUGUUGUCAUUACCUUGGUUGACCAUCCCAAGAAGCUGGUCUCAUUGGCUGUUGGUUUAUCAGCCUGGGCCAUCACAACUUUUGGCCCCCAAGGUGUUGGCUCCUCUUGUUUUCUCUGUCCAGAGACAACCCGAGCAGUUGGCUGGUUCACCUUCUACAAUGAGAAACGGCCACUCAUCAACACACAGAGUCUUGUCAUCCCCCUCCGGUUGAGCAAACUGCAAAGACAUAACGCUGCCCUCCAGAGUGGCUGGCACAGCAGCUUCUGGAACAGGUCGAGGAGGAGGUACGCCCUCCAGAGUAGCUGGUACAGCAGCUUCUGGAACAGGUCGAG